rnacentral:rRNA from 1 species
GAUUAAUUCGAUGCAACGCGAAGAACCUUACCUGGGCUUGACAUGUUCCCGACCGCGGCAGAGAUGUCGUUUCCCUUCGGGGCGGGUUCACAGGUGGUGCAUGGUCGUCGUCAGCUCGUGUCGUGAGAUGUUGGGUUAAGUCCCGCAACGAGCGCAACCCUCGCCCUGUGUUGCCAGCACGUCAUGGUGGGAACUCACGGGGGACCGCCGGGGUCAACUCGGAGGAAGGUGGGGAUGACGUCAGAUCAUCAUGCCCCUUACGUCCAGGGCUUCACGCAUGCUACAAUGGCCGGUACAACGGGAUGCGACACGGCGACGUGGAGCGGAUCCCUGAAAACCGGUCUCAGUUCGGAUUGGAGUCUGCAACCCGACUCCAUGAAGGCGGAGUCGCUAGUAAUCGCGGAUCAGCAACGCCGCGGUGAAUGCGUUCCCGGGCCUUGUACACACCGCCCGUCAAGUCAUGAAAGUGGGUAGCACCCGAAGCCGGUGGCCUAACCCUUUGUGGAUGGAGCCGUCUAAGGUGAGACUCGUGAUUGGGACUAAGUCGUAACAAGGUAGCCGUACCGGAAGGUGCGGCUGGAUCACCUCCUUUCUACGGAG